rnacentral:rRNA from 1 species
GUGUCAGCAGCCGCGGUAAGACAGAGGUGCCGAGCGUUAGGCGGAAUCACUGGGCUUAAAGCGUGUGUAGGCGGGUCGUUAAGUGCCUUGUGAAAUCCCAUGGCUCAACCAUGGAACUGCUGGGCAUACUGGCGAUCUUGAGCCGGCCAGGGGCUACUGGAACAAACGGUGGAGCGGUGAAAUGCGUAGAUAUCGUUUGGAACGCCAAAGGUGAAAACAGGUAGCUGGAGCCGCGCUGACGCUGAGACACGAAAGCCAGGGGAGCGAACGGGAUUAGAUACCCCCGUAGUCC